rnacentral:lncRNA from 1 species
CUCUGGGAGGUCUAAGGCGAAUACACAAGCACCUGGACACUUUGCCCUGGGAUCGGAAAAGACGCGUGUCAGUUCAGCCCCCUUGCUGCCCGGCCACCUCCCGCUGGACAGUGGCCCCUUUCCACAUGCUGACGCACUGCCCAGCCCUGCACCGCUGGCGACCAGUGCAAAGUACCAGCCCAGUCUCAGAAACUUUGACUCAGUUAUCAGGGCACUGGGAACCAACAAUCUAGGCGGGGGACGGGGUGUUCGUCAUGGCUCAGGCGGUCAACUUUGAAGCUCUGUCAUUCCUUGCAGGUAGAAAUCUGCCCAGGACGAAGCCAGGCUACAAAAACCACAAACAUCUGCAGAAGCAGGAGCCGAGCAGUCUCGUCGGAAGAAGGGGAAGAGCAAGGGAAAGACACAGCCGCGAACAGAAGCCUGCGCUGUGGGGUGUCUGUGUUUGUGAAGCGCUCCCUCACUGAUUUCUUCUGUGGGACCCUAGUUGAAAAGGGAAAUAACCUGCGGGGAAAGAAGGACAAAGUGCUGAGCACUGCUGGACAUCAUAUGAAGAGAAGGUACCCUUGUUGCAGCUUUUUAUCCUUUGGGAUAAUACCUGUUGAAAUACUAACCAGGUAGAAAUUAAAAGAAAUCAGCUCUUCUCCACAAGUAUUGUCCUGAUCCUUGAACUGUAUCCUCCUUCCUAGAUCCUGCAGCCAGAAAUGACCUAUACAUUUCCCC